GUCGAGCGGUAGAGAGAUGCUUGCAUCUCUUGAGAGCGGCGGACGGGUGAGUAAUGCCUAGGAAUCUGCCUGGUAGUGGGGGAUAACGUCCGGAAACGGACGCUAAUACCGCAUACGUCCUACGGGAGAAAGCAGGGGACCUUCGGGCCUUGCGCUAUCAGAUGAGCCUAGGUCGGAUUAGCUAGUUGGUGAGGUAAAGGCUCACCAAGGCGACGAUCCGUAACUGGUCUGAGAGGAUGAUCAGUCACACUGGAACUGAGACACGGUCCAGACUCCUACGGGAGGCAGCAGUGGGGAAUAUUGGACAAUGGGCGAAAGCCUGAUCCAGCCAUGCCGCGUGUGUGAAGAAGGUCUUCGGAUUGUAAAGCACUUUAAGUUGGGAGGAAGGGUACUUACCUAAUACGUGAGUAUUUUGACGUUACCGACAGAAUAAGCACCGGCUAACUCUGUGCCAGCAGCCGCGGUAAUACAGAGGGUGCAAGCGUUAAUCGGAAUUACUGGGCGUAAAGCGCGCGUAGGUGGUUCGUUAAGUUGGAUGUGAAAUCCCCGGGCUCAACCUGGGAACUGCAUCCCAACUGGCGAGCUAGAGUAUGGUAGAGGGGUGGUGGAAUUUCCU
rnacentral:rRNA from 1 species